UGAACACACUUGAUCUACUCUGACUUCAGAAGCUAAGCA
rnacentral:rRNA from 1 species